rnacentral:rRNA from 1 species
UACGAAGGGUGCAAGCGUUAGUCGGAAUUACUGGGCGUAAAGCGUGCGUAGGCGGUUUCCUAAGUCGGAUGUGAAAGCCCUGGGCUCAACCUGGGAAUGGCACUCGAUACUGGGAAGCUGGAGUGCGGUAGAGGAGGGUGGAAUUCCCGGUGUAGCGGUGAAAUGCGUAGAGAUCGGGAGGAACAUCAGUGGCGAAGGCGACCCUCUGGACCAGCACUGACGCUGAGGCACGAAAGCGUGGGGAGCGAACAGG